GACGAACGCUAGCGGCAGGCUUAAUACAUGCAAGUCGAGGGGCAGUAUGAUUGUAGCAAUACAAUUGAUGGCGACCGGCAAACGGGUGCGGAACACGUACACAACCUUCCAACAAGUGGGGGAUAGCCCAGAGAAAUUUGGAUUAAUACCCCGUAACAUAGCGAUGUGGCAUCACAUUGCUAUUAUAGAUUUUUCGCUUGUUGAUGGGUGUGCGGCUGAUUAGAUAGUUGGCGGGGUAACGGCCCACCAAGUCUACGAUCAGUAGCUGAUGUGAGAGCAUGAUCAGCCACACGGGCACUGAGACACGGGCCCGACUCCUACGGGAGGCAGCAGUAAGGAAUAUUGGACAAUGGACGCAAGUCUGAUCCAGCCAUGCCGCGUGAAGGAUUAAGGUCCUCUGGAUUGUAAACUUCUUUUAUAAGGGACGAAAAAAGGCUUUUCUAAGUCGUCUGACGGUACCUUAUGAAUAAGCACCGGCUAACUCCGUGCCAGCCGCCGCGGUAA
rnacentral:rRNA from 1 species